GCUAGCGCGCAGCAAAGCUUGCUAUCGGUUGACGAGCGGCGGACGGGUGAGUAAUGUCUGGGAAACGUGCCUGAUGGAGGGGGAUAACUACUGGAAACGGUAGCUAAUCCCGCAUAACGUCGCAAGACCAAAGAGGGGGACCUUCGGGCCUCCCGCCAUCGGAGGGGCCCAGAUGGGAUUAGCUAGUAGGUGGGGUAACGGCUCACCUAGGCGACGAUCCUUAGCUGGUCUGAGAGGAUGACCAGCCACACUGGAACUGAGACACGGUCCGGACUCCUACGGGAGGCAGCAGUGGGGAAUAUUGCACAAUGGGCGCAAGCCUGAUGCAGCCAUGCCGCGUGUAUGAAGAAGGCCUUCGGUUUGUAAAGCACUUUCAGCGGGGAGGAAGGCGAUAAGGUUAAUAACCUCACCUAUUGACGUUACUCGCAGAAGAAGCACCGGCUAACUCCGUGCCAGCAGCCGCGGUAAUACGGAGGGUGCAAGCGUUAAUCGGAAUUACUGGGCGUAAAGCGCACGCAGGCGGUCUGUCAAGUCGGAUGUGAAAUCCCCGGGCUCAACCUGGGAACUGCAUUCGAAACUGGCAGGCUAGAGUUUUUUAGAGGGGGGUAGAAUUCCAGGUGUAGCGGUGAAUGCUUAGUGAUCUGGAGGAAUACCUAGGCGAAGGCGGCCCCUUAGAAUACCACAGGCGAUCUAACAGAUAUAGCAUCUAAUAUAGUGACUG
rnacentral:rRNA from 1 species